rnacentral:ncRNA from 1 species
AAAAAGUUUUAUUUUGACUUAUAAAUUAAGUUUUUCUUUUAAUUAUAUGUAAAUUAUAGUGUGAAAAUUAGGUUUAUUUAAAAAAUUUAUUUUUAAUAUUUAUUCUCAGUAAGUAAAUUUAAAAUUUAAAGAAAUUUAGAUUUAGAAAUAGUUAAAAAUAUUAACAAAAUUUGUGCCAGCAGUUGCGGUUAUACAAAUAAUAUAAUUUAAUUUUUUUAGUAUUAAGUUAAUUUUUAUUUAAUUAAUUUUUAAUUUAAAAUUUGUUUGGUGAAAUUUUAAAUUUUAAGAAAGAUUAUUGAUGUUAAAUGAAGCUAGAAAAUUUAUUUUUAAACUAGGAUUAGAUACCCUAUUAUUUUAAAUGUAAAUUUAAAUACUUAAUUAGUAUUAGUUAUGUUCUUGAAAAUUAAAAAAUUUGGCGGUAUUUUAGUCUUUUCAGAGGAACCUGCUCUAUAAUCGAUAAUCCACGAUAAGAUAAAUUUUUUUUAUUAGCUUACAUAUCGUCGUAGAAAGAAUAUUUUAUUAGAAAUAUAAUGUUCAAUAUUUUUUAUUAAAAUAAAGAUCAGAUCAAGGUGUAGUUUAUAUAAAAGGAGAAGUGGGUUACAAUAAAUUUAUUUAAGGAUAAUUUUUUUUAAAAAAAUUUAAAUUAGGAUUUGAUAGUAAUUUUUUAUAUUUAUUUAUAAUGAUUUUAGCUCUAAAAUAUGUACAUAUCGCCCGUCGCUUUCAUUUUAAAAUGAAAUAAGUCGUAACAAAGUAGGUGUACUGGAAAGUGUAUCUAGAAAGAA